UAAGAGCAGCAUCCCCGACAGAGCUCUCACUCAUUUAUUUUAAUUAAAGUGUUUUUUAUUUUAUUUUAAAAAUAUGUUAUUGAAAUAAUUAGAAAGGAUGCACGAGGACAAACUUUAACAGGAGAUUUUUUUUCAUCUUCAGAGAAUAAAAACAGCUCAGGAUUAUUCUGCUCAGCGCCAUUUUUAUUUUUAUGAAUAAAAAAAGAAGGUUUUUCUUUUAUAAAUUAUCACGGUGGGAUUAUCAACCUUUACAGAGGACACAGAGAGGGGGGCACAGCUGAUCCGGAUCAGCAGGAUGGAGGUGAACGCUCGGGUUGACCCAGGUCAGGAGGAGUCGAACCGGGCCGGGCCGUCCCCACUUCAGCCUCCCGGACCUCCGCAGACCCACCGGGUCACCAACUUCUACAUAGACAACAUCCUGAGGCCCGACUUCGGCCGGCAGAAGAAGGAUGGGACCGUGGUCCGGGAGGGGGGCAGUCUUGGACGGUUGAUACGGAGACAAGAGACAAAGUCCUCCAAAAACGCGCAGCGGGUAGAAGAUCGGGACCAGGACCGGGACCAGGACCGGGACACGGGGUCAUCAGAGGAGCAGCAGGCGGACUGUGAGGCCCGCAGGCCGGAGCUGAGGGCCGGGGAGGAUGCUGAGAGGACCCAGGGGGACAAACAGAUGCUGUGGCCGGCCUGGGUCUAUUGUACCCGGUACUCCGACCGGCCGUCCUCAGGACCCAGAUCCCGGAAACCAAAGCGGGCCCCGGCUCCAAGCAAGGAUGACAAGCGGCCCCGCACGGCCUUCACGGCGGAGCAGCUGCUCCGGUUAAAGGCGGAGUUCCAGAAGAACCGGUACCUGACGGAGCAGCGGAGGCAGAGUCUGUCCCGGGAUCUCGGCCUGAACGAGUCCCAGAUUAAGAUCUGGUUCCAGAACAAGCGCGCCAAGAUCAAGAAGACUUGUGGGAACAAGAACGCUCUGGCGCAGCACCUGAUGGAGCAGGGACUCUACAACCACUCCACCAGCGCAAGAGACGACGAGGCCGACAGCGACUAAAUAACCAGACUAAGACCCCUAUCAACCUCCUCAGAACCAGCAUCAUAUUUAAGACUGUGUGUGUGUGUGUGUGUGUGUGUGUGUGUGUGUGUGUGUGUGUCAGAUUUAACAUUUAAUAGGUAGACAGAAUAUUCAUUGGAGAUAUCUGUGUGUCAGUUCUUCCUCAUCAGAAUGAACAUUUCAGAUAUCCACAAUGACAGUCUUUCUAUAGGGUCAAUGACGUCACUUUUACCAUUCAUGUGUUUUGCUUUUCUUUCAAUUUCAGAAAUCCACAACAUCAUUCUUCCUAUCCACAAUG